rnacentral:misc_RNA from 1 species
GAUGAAGAACGUAGCGAAAUGCGAUAACUAGUGUGAAUUGCAGAUUUCAGUGAAUCAUCGAGUCUUUGAACGCACAUUGCGCCCCUUGGUAUUCCAUGGGGCAUGCCUGUUCGAGCGUCAUUUGUACCUUCAAGCUCUGCUUGGUGUUGGGUGUUUGUCUCGCCUUUGCGUGUAGACUCGCCUUAAAACCAUUGGCAGCCGGCGUAUUGAUUUCGGAGCGCAGUACAUCUCGCGCUUUGCACUCAGAACGACGACGUCCAAAAGUACAUUUUUACACUCUUGACCUCGGAUCAGGUAGGGAUACCCGCUGAACUUAAGCAUAUCAAUAAGCGGAGGA